CAGUAGCCGCGGUAACACGUAGGUGGCAAGCGUUGUCCGGAAUUAUUGGGCGUAAAGGGCCCGCAGGCGGUUUCUUAAGUCUGAUGUGAAAGCCCCCGGCUCAACCGGGGAGGGUCAUUGGAAACUGGGAAACUUGAGUGCAGAAGAGGAGAGUGGAAUUCCACGUGUAGCGGUGAAAUGCGUAGAGAUGUGGAGGAACACCAGUGGCGAAGGCGACUCUCUGGUCUGUAACUGACGCUGAGGAGCGAAAGCGUGGGGAGCGAACAGGAUUAGAUACCCCUGUAGUCCCUGUCUCUUAUAC
rnacentral:rRNA from 1 species